rnacentral:rRNA from 1 species
CUACGGGUUGCAGCAGGCGAGAAAACUUUGCAAUGUGCGAAAGCACGACAAAGUUAAUCCGAGUGGUUUGUGCUAAACGAACCUUUUGACAGUCCUAGAAACACUGUUGAAUAAGGGGUGGGCAAGUUCUGGUGUCAGCCGCCGCGGUAAAACCAGCACCUCAAGUGGUCAGGAUGAUUAUUGGGCCUAAAGCAUCCGUAGCCGGCUCUGUAAGUUUUCGGUUAAAUCUGUACGCUCAACGUACAGGCUGCCGGGAAUACUGCAGAGCUAGGGAGUGGGGGAGGUAGACGGUACUCGGUAGGAAGGGGUAAAAUCCUUUGAUCUAUUGAUGACCACCUGUGGCGAAGGCGGUCUACCAGAACACGUCCGACGGUGAGGGAUGAAAGCUGGGGGAGCAAACCGGAUUAGAUACCCGUGUAGUC